GAAUGGAGGGACCUAACCCCGUGUCCACAGGCAGAGACAGACACACUCAUCCUAACGCUCCUGUGCUGCUUCUCUAUGUCGGGGGCUCCUGGUAAGCCCAGGGGAGUUGGGCCAAUGCUGGGGUCCUGUGGCCGCCGAGAACACACAGCCAGGUGGACACGGGCAUGUGUAGAGUCUCCAUUUCAGCAGCGCUCUGCCAGCACCGACACGCCCACGGUCACCUCGGACACCGGCUCCUCGGCUGCCCGCAUCAGCACUAUCUGGAUGACUCGGCCCUCGUAGAUGUGGGCAUCGAAUGUGGACUUCCACUCGGGAUACAUGAGCGGGAAAGAAGACGAGCAGCCCUUCUCAUCUGCCC